rnacentral:lncRNA from 1 species
UUCACGGGAACCCAUCAGCAGCAACCAGAAGCGCUCCAGCUGCUGUGUCACUGGUCGAGCAACAGUCUCCAACUGGGAAUCGCUGACUUCGUUGUGUGGCUCAGACAGAAACUGCCCUGAAUCACCUUUACGAGAGCUGUCCCACGCUGCGAGCACAAGUCUUGCAGUCUGGCCAGAUAUUUGCCUUCUAAGUCAAUAACCAAAUCUGUUACAAAGACCAAGAAUGAAUCGUGGAGAACCACCAAAACUCAGGUG